rnacentral:rRNA from 1 species
AUUGAACGCUGGCGGCAUGCUUUACACAUGCAAGUCGAACGGCAGCGCGGGGGCAACCCUGGCGGCGAGUGGCGAACGGGUGAGUAAUGCAUCGGAACGUAUCCUGUAAUGGGGGAUAACGUAGCGAAAGUUACGCUAAUACCGCAUACGCUCGAGAGAGGAAAGUGGGGGAUCGCAAGACCUCACGUUAUAGGAGCGGCCGAUGUCCGAUUAGCUAGUUGGUGGGGUAAAGGCCUACCAAGGCGACGAUCGGUAGCUGGUCUGAGAGGAUGAUCAGCCACACUGGGACUGAGACACGGUCCAGACUCCUACGGGAGGCAGCAGUGGAGAAUAUUGGACAAUGGGCGCAAGCCUGAUCCAGCCAUGCCGCGU